UGUUCUGUGGCUUAGUUGGUUAAAGCGCCGGUCUAGCGAAUACGGAGUCGAGGGUUCGAGUCCAACCAGAACGC
rfam:Aedes albopictus isolate Foshan contig85329, whole genome shotgun sequence.